ACGACGGGGUGGGAGGUAUCUGUGGUUCAGGUGCAGCCUCAUGUAAGCCAAUCCCCACACUGUCAUCUACGUCAGCGGCAAACCUGUUGCUGGGAGGCACUACCAGGCAGCAGGCAGCAGCUAUCAGCCAUCAUUGCACUUGGACCUGGAUAUAACCCAUAUAUACAUAUUUUUAGUCUCAGAAUGAGGUCACGGAUCGCCACCAUUCGAUGGCUCCGGAGUGAGAACGCUUUGGGAUAUCUUUUGUUAUUGAAUAUGGAUGCUAAUCGCAGUGAGUCAUGAACUGGCUGGCAAUCACGUGAAAGCGUAUGGCUUCUACUAAAAUGUUAAUUUGAAAUGUGUCGAAUAUAAUUAUUAUGAAGCCCGAGGGGAUUUAUACAUUAAUUUCCGAGAAGAAGAAUAAUAAUAAGGGUCCAUUUCAAUUGAAUAUUAUUGUAGAAUUAUUUCCGGUUUAUCGAGAGUACUCGUAAAAUUGAAUGAUUGAUUUUUGAAUUAAAACGAGAAUGGAAUGGAA
rnacentral:sRNA from 1 species